AUUGAACGCUGGCGGCAGGCCUAACACAUGCAAGUCGAACGAGUGGCGGACGGGUGAGUAAUUUCUGGGAAACUGCCUGAUGGGGGGGGAUAACUACGGGAAACGUUGGCUAAUACCGCAUACCAUCAGAUGUGCCAAGAUGGGAUUAGCUAGUUGGUGGGGUAACGGCUCACCAAGGCGACGAUCCCUAGCUGGUCUGAGAGGAUGACCAGCCACACUGGAACUGAGACACGGGCCAGACUCCUACGGGAGGCAGCAGUGGGGAAUAUUGCACAAUGGGCGCAAGCCUGAUGCAGCCAUGCCGCGUGUAUGAAGAAGGCCUUCGGGUUGUAAAGUACUUUCAGCGGGGAGGCGUUACCCGCAGAAGAAGCACCGGCUAACUCCGUGCCAGCCGCCGCGGUAAUAC
rnacentral:rRNA from 1 species